UUUCCGUGGGUGAACCUGCGGAAGGAUCAUUCAUAAUAAAGUGUUUUAUGGCACUUUUUAAAAAUCCAUAUCCACCUUGUGUGCAAUGUUAGAUCUCGUCAAUCUUGGCGAGAUUUUUAUACAUCAACUCAUUUUUUAACUAAUUUGUCUGAAAAAUAUUAUGAAUACUUAAUUCAAAAUACAACUUUCAACAACGGAUCUCUUGGCUCUC
rnacentral:misc_RNA from 1 species